rnacentral:rRNA from 1 species
GACGAACGCUGGCGGCGUGCUUAACACAUGCAAGUCGAACGGAAAGGCCCUGCUUUUGUGGGGUGCUCGAGUGGCGAACGGGUGAGUAACACGUGAGUAACCUGCCCUUGACUUUGGGAUAACUUCAGGAAACUGGGGCUAAUACCGGAUAGGAGCUCCUGCUGCAUGGUGGGGGUUGGAAAGUUUCGGCGGUUGGGGAUGGACUCGCGGCUUAUCAGCUUGUUGGUGGGGUAGUGGCUUACCAAGGCUUUGACGGGUAGCCGGCCUGAGAGGGUGACCGGCCACAUUGGGACUGAGAUACGGCCCAGACUCCUACGGGAGGCAGCAGUGGGGAAUAUUGCACAAUGGGCGGAAGCCUGAUGCAGCAACGCCGCGUGCGGGAUGACGGCCUUCGGGUUGUAAACCGCUUUCGCCUGUGACGAAGCGUGAGUGACGGUAAUGGGUAAAGAAGCACCGGCUAACUACGUGCCAGCAGCCGCGGUGAUACGUAGGGUGCGAGCGUUGUCCAGAUUUAUUGGGCGUAAAGGGCUCGUAGGUGGUUGAUCGCGUCGGAAGUGUAAUCUUGGGGCUUAACCCUGAGCGUGCUUUCGAUACGGGUUGACUUGAGGAAGGUAGGGGAGAAUGGAAUUCCUGGUGGAGCGGUGGAAUGCGCAGAUAUCAGGAGGAACACCAGUGGCGAAGGCGGUUCUCUGGGCCUUUCCUGACGCUGAGGAGCGAAAGCGUGGGGAGCGAACAGGCUUAGAUACCCUGGUAGUCCACGCUGUAAACGGUAGGUACUAGGUGUGGGGUCCAUUCCACGGGUUCCGUGCCGUAGCUAACGCUUUAAGUACCCCGCCUGGGGAGUACGGCCGCAAGGCUAAAACUCAAAGGAAUUGACGGGGCCCCGCACAAGCGGCGGAGCAUGCGGAUUAAUUCGAUGCAACGCGUAGAACCUUACCUGGGUUUGACAUGGAUCGGGAGCGCUCAGAGAUGGGUGUGCCUCUUUUGGGGUCGGUUCACAGGUGGUGCAUGGCUGUCGUCAGCUCGUGUCGUGAGAUGUUGGGUUAAGUCCCGCAACGAGCGCAACCCUUGUUCACUGUUGCCAGCACGUUAUGGUGGGGACUCAGUGGAGACCGCCGGGGUCAACUCGGAGGAAGGUGGGGAUGACGUCAAGUCAUCAUGCCCCUUAUGUCCAGGGCUUCACGCAUGCUACAAUGGCUGGUACAGAGAGUGGCGAGCCUGUGAGGGUGAGCGAAUCUCGGAAAGCCGGUCUCAGUUCGGAUUGGGGUCUGCAACUCGACCUCAUGAAGUCGGAGUCGCUAGUAAUCGCAGAUCAGCAACGCUGCGGUGAAUACGUUCCCGGG